GCGCCAGACUCCUACGGGAGGCAGCAGUGGGGGAUAUUGCACAAUGGGGGGAACCCUGAUGCAGCGACGCCGCGUGGGUGAAGGAGUAUUUCGGUAUGUAAAGCCCUAUCGGCAGGGAAGAAGCAAGACGGUACCUGACUAAGAAGCCCCGGCUAACUACGUGCCAGCAGCCGCGGUAAUACGUAGGGGGCAAGCGUUAUCCGGAUUUACUGGGUGUAAAGGGAGCGUAGACGGCAGUGCAAGUCCGGAGUGAAAGCCCGGGGCUCAACCCUGGGACUGCUCUGGAAACUGUAAAGCUGGAGUGCGGGAGGGGCAGGCGGAAUUCCUGGUGUAGCGGUGAAAUGCGUAGAUAUUAGGAGGAACACCAGUGGCGAAGGCGGCCUGCUGGACUGCAACUGACGUUGAGGCUCGAAGGCGUGGGGAGCAAACAGGAUUAGAUACCCCUGUA
rnacentral:rRNA from 1 species